rnacentral:rRNA from 1 species
AUUGAACGCUGGCGGCAUGCCUUACACAUGCAAGUCGAACGGUAACGGGCCUUCGGGUGCCGACGAGUGGCGAACGGGUGAGUAAUGUAUCGGAACGUACCUUUCAGUGGGGGAUAACGUAGCGAAAGUUACGCUAAUACCGCAUAUUCUGUGAGCAGGAAAGCAGGGGAUCGCAAGACCUUGCGCUGAUUGAGCGGCCGAUAUCAGAUUAGCUAGUUGGUGAGGUAAAGGCUCACCAAGGCGACGAUCUGUAGCGGGUCUGAGAGGAUGAUCCGCCACACUGGAACUGAGACACGGUCCAGACUCCUACGGGAGGCAGCAGUGGGGAAUUUUGGACAAUGGGGGCAACCCUGAUCCAGCCAUGCCGCGUGAGUGAAGAAGGCCUUCGGGUUGUAAAACUCUUUCGGCCGGGAAGAAAUCGUAUGGGUUAAUACCCUGUGCGGAUGACGGUACCGGCAUAAGAAGCACCGGCUAACUACGUG